rnacentral:rRNA from 1 species
CUACGGGAGGCAGCAGUGGGGAAUAUUGGACAAUGGGCGCAAGCCUGAUCCAGCAAUGCCGCGUGGGUGAAGACGGCCUGCGGGUUGUAAAGCCCUUUCGGUGGGGAGGAAAACCUGGGUUUGAAUAGAGCCUGGGGGUGACGUUACCCACAGAAGAAGCACCGGCUAACUCCGUGCCAGCAGCCGCGGUAAUACGGAGGGUGCGAGCGUUAAUCGGAAUUACUGGGCGUAAAGCGUGCGUAGGCGGUAAGUUAAGUCAGAUGUGAAAGCCCCGGGCUCAACCUGGGAACGGCAUUUGAUACUGGCUUACUGGAGUGUGACAGAGGAUGGCGGAAUUCCGGGUGUAGCGGUGAAAUGCGUAGAGAUCCGGAGGAACACCGAUGGCGAAGGCAGCCAUCUGGGUUGACACUGACGCUGAGGCACGAAAGCGUGGGGAGCAAACAGGAUUAGAUACCCUAGUAGUCC